rnacentral:lncRNA from 1 species
AAGUGGCACUAGAUGACCGAUAUGCAAACAAGUUUGCCCCUCUUGAUAGUACGGCCAUCUAUCCUAAAUCCGGUCAUAAACUUCUCUACACACCUAUGACCGGUGAAAUGGAAAUACCCUAGGUUAUACCUUUGCCUUGCGCUUUCCAUUUCAUCUCCUUCAAUGUUGAUGCAACACAUGCACCAACCAAUCACCAAAUGAUAUGAUCCACUUCAUAUCAUCACGUGACCGUAUUGGUUCAUCGAUCUUGACGUCACUUGCUCUUCACCGUUGCCUCGGUCCAUCGGCGCCAAGUCUUGCUCAAGCUUCACCGUCACACGCGGUCCCUCGCUUCAAAGCCUCCGACAUACCCUUCACACUUGCAACCGGUCCAUCAAGCCAAGCCUCAUCUUGAUCUUCUCCACGUUGGUCACAUGACUCCAUGUCAUGUCUCAUAUGCAAUGAGCUCCUCGAUCAUCACAUCAUGACCUGUGGACUAAUCUCCUGUGUAUCUCACAUAAACACUAUUAGUCCACCUAAGUUGUCACUCAAUUAUCAAAACCAAACAAAGACCUUUCACUCCCUCUUCGUUCCAGGCCUCCAGCAGGACGUGCUCCAUGGUGAUCUUGACGUGGUACACCAGGUGUGCUCCUAAAGGACAGAAGAUGGCGACCAGAGAAGAUGAAUAGGAGCCUUAAAUUUGUUGUGAAAUAUUUGACCGCUGUCCUAAAAUUACCGACAGCUACAAAAGAGUUCCUAAAACUAAAAUACCCAACCCAAAUUGGUGACAAGAAAUCCAACAAAAAAAAGACAAAGAUUGGGAGUUCAAACGAUCAAACUGUGUGAAAAACAAAAAAUCAGAGUUGAGAAAAAAUAGACCGGAAAUUGCACCAGAAAAUCUGGACUGCACAAACACAGAACCGCUCUCUCCCGACAAUGGGCCUGGGCCGAGCGACUGCUCUCUGCAGCCCACAACCGGUGGCCCGGCAGGGUGCCACAACGAUCUUCUGGAAGCCACGAACAACAGAGCAGGAAGCUACCAAGGGUGGAGCCCUGUUCGGCGACGGAAUACUCAACGCCGUCGUGCUGAGCGCCGUGAUAUGCCUGCAGCCCUGCACACGCAGAGGAAGACGGAAUUGGGAACUGGAGGGCGGGGCGGCCGCUGGGAACAGAGAGAGCCUGGUGGGCUAAGGACACAAAAAAAAAAAAAAUCACCCGUUCUCGUUCUGAUAUGUUAUUAUGGUUUCUAAACUCGCAAAACGAUUGUUUAAGUACUUUAACUUGUUCGACUUGCCAUUUUAGUCUCUAAACUUGGAAAUCUACUAUAUAGGUCCUUAAACUUGUUUAAUUGUAUUUUCUAGUCCCUAAACUUGGUUUUAUGUCUUAUGUGAAUUAAAACAGGAACAAUCUAUAAACUCUAUAAUGAAAAAUAACUCAUAUCUUUUUUAUAAGAACUCAAAUAAAGAUAAAUUUUAUAUCAAAAUUGUAGUCAACAACAUGAUCCAUAACUUUGUAGUUGAAAAUUUUUUAAAUUAAAACCAUUUAGGGUCCCAAAAUUUUUUUUUGUAAGUUUAUAGAUUUUGAAAUUUGAAAUUUAAAAUUAAUUUUUUGUGACACUAAAACUUUAAAUAAAAAACUUUUCAACUACAAAGUCGUUGCGUCGAGGGCUAUAACUUUGAUAAAAAGUUUGUCUUAAUUCGAGUUCAUAUGGAAAAAGUUAUAAUUUUUUUUUAUAUAGAGUUUUAAGAUCGCUCUGUUUUAACCUAGAUGAGAUUCAAAACCAAGUUUAUAAACUGGGAUGACACAACUGAAUAAAUUUGAGGACCUAAACAGGUGAUUUAUAAGUUUAGGGAUGUUGAUGCAAAACUGAUCUGCAAACACAAAGGGCUAAUACCCGAUUCAAACGUUAAGGCGUGCCAGCCGAUUUGACCUUGCUAUCGGCAAAGGUGAUAACUCGAAUACUUUAGUCCUGACAACAGCGAUGCGCCCGGAUGUCACGGCUAAGAGGUACUCACGCGGAACUCGAGAACACGCCGAGCUUAAGUCGACGAAUUCCUAAGAACUCGUAAUAAAAAGAAAAAAGUAUGACGAAGUCGUCGAAAAGUAGAUGCUGGAAUAUGAGUAAAAACGUGUGUUUGAUUGAUUUCUUGAUUUUUUAUUACAAGGUCCUAGGGUUUAUAUUUAUACCCUGCUCAAAGAGCUAUAACCAGACACGAUUAGAAUUCGAAUUCCAAUUUACACGGAAUCCGUAUACAAAACGAUGCAAAUAAUUAAGGAAAUAAUAAAACUAUCCUUCGUGACAAACCGAAACUCCUCCACAUGACAACUGGCAGCUUCCGGACUCCUCCUUCGCAUCAUCGGCAAUCCCCUUGCCAUAGUCAUCGGCAGACCUUUUUAUCCAGCCAUCGGCACCAUAUUACUGCCUGUGGACUUAGUCACAUUCAACCUCUCCCUCAUCGGCAACCAUCCUCAUCAGCAACCCGCAUCGUACUGCCACCCUAUCCUGCCAUCCUAGACACGUGCCCAAAAAUGGUGUCAACACAUGCCCCCCAGUUUCGGAGUAUAAAACUAUUAAUGCUCCGAAAUUCUCUGCAGUAAUGAUGCCUUCUCCGCAAUUAAUGCUCCUAAUCUGGUAACCGACAACCUCAAUCUGGACAACUCUGAUCCUAAUCCUCCGCAGAUUUCUCGAAAUCCCCAACUUCCUAAACGGGCAUCUUUCUUGGUCGUACAUCGGCAACAAUACCGUUACAAAGAUCUGCCGAUGCUCUGACCAGGAUAUUCGCAAAAACGGUUACCUCCCCUCUAUCCGCCCAUCGGCAAGAUGACCGUUAUAGAAUAUCGCCGAUGGACCGACCAGGAGAUCUCGCACAGUAAAAUAUCUUUAGAUAAUGACCGCUUCCCGUCAAAUCACCUGCACAAUCCCUGGAUUACCGUGCGAACAGUUACCAUAUCCACCUGAGUACCCUCGGGCUUCUCGGAUGCGGCAAAGAGAUAAGUCGGAUUUGCCCUUGCCCAUCUUGUCCUAUAAAUAGUUCCUUCUUGGGUACUCCUCCCCCAUUACACCAUUCUACUAUCCAACUUUGCUUUUCCAGCGGCGGCGCCAUUUACAACCCUCAAGAUCUCCGACAAGCACUCCUCUUCAUCAACUCCGGUGCCCUCCAACGUCCUCUUCACGACAAGAUGGCCAUUGGCUUCGUCGUCCCUGAGGUCAGACUUCCAUCUCAUCUCCUGUACCUUUUCUCGCAUUCCUGUUCAUCUGCGAUUCAUCUUACUGAAUAUCUUCCUUUUCCUUUUCCUUUGUAUUUUUAUUCCCCAAAACACUAGGAGUUGUCCAACAAAAUUGUCAUCCCUACCGAUCAACCACACCUUCAGUGCCUCGGCCCUCUAGGGAAUCCAGAUCCAACCGACCUUAUAAAUGCAGAAACCAACAGGAUUCCCUUUAGAGCCGAAAACUUUUCUUUAGAUCUGUGGAAAGACACCUUUCGCUCUUGGCCCAGCCCUACUGUAGGGUGGAAAGAUUGGUUCUUGAGGGUCAGCAAUUCUUAUGAAGUCCAGUGGGGUGAAAGGAAGCUAGCUCAAUGCAUUAGGCUAUCCAUUGCCGAUAUGCACAGGAACGAGUCACUGCUGAUAGCUGCAUCCUACUUUUGGUCAGACACUCUCAAUGCUUUUGUUUUUGGCCACGGCCCUGCUUCUCCUACCCUUGCCGAUGUAGCCAUGCUCACUGGGCUAGAUAUAUCUUCUGCCGAUAGCACCCACUUUUUUGAUACUGCCCCCAGUGCCAAAGUGGAGACUCGCGCUAUCGGCGGUUGGUCAGGGUACAUCCAGAAGUACCGCGGGAGAGGGCCUGUCACCAUAAAGGAGCAAACCACCUUUCUGAACAUGUGGCUGGACAAAUUUGUAUUAUGUGGUCGAUCGGCAGGACCGACUUCUGUCUAUCUAUCGGCAGCAGAAAGACUGGCUAGCGGUGGCCAAUUUCCUCUCGGCCGAUAUUUGCUCAGCGCUGUUUACCACCUUCUUCAUCAGGUAGCCCAGAAACUCCUGCUUGGCCAAUCCAUCGGCAACUUGGGAGGCCCCUGGUGGUUUAUUAAUAUGUGGCUCAAUCUGCACCUGCAUAAGCGCCUUGAUUUCAACUUGUUCUCACAGCACUUCCCAAGAGAUAUAGCCGAAAAUCAUGUGUUGGGUGAAGAGGAAUCGGCAACGCGUGCCCCCUUGAACUUUGGCGAAGCCGUUAUAGUCUUACCCGGUUCAGGGAACAAUCCGGAUCAGAUCGGCCGAUUCUUCGAGACUCUGUAUGAGGGAUUGGCCAGAGAUGAACGACCAUGGUUGGCCUAUGAUGACCCAGACAGCAUGCUCCCUCUAACCUUCAAUCCAUUUGAUGAAGCUCUUGACAGGGAUAAUGAGGUGAUGAUGGCAAUUGUGACUCCUAGAGUCAUACCAGUGAAUUUCUUUGGUAGCACGAAAACCUCUCCCCAAACCUAUGAAUUUUACAAUCCAUCGGCAUUAGCUCGCCAGCUAGCUUUCGGCCAGUUGCCGAUUGCACUUCCUUAUGCCGAUGUGAUAAAGCCCAGAGAACCCAUCACCAACCUUCUCGAGUGGACUCGAGUAGCCCAGCUACCACCAAAUGCCGAUACAGAUGUAGAUCUGUCAGAAUGGGUUCCAGCUGCCUUUAUCACUCAGGCAUACAAGCUAUGGUGGGCAGAAUGGAAAGAGAAUCUAUUCUGCAGAUCGGCCCUCUCAUACCGCGGCAUGAUCGACCCUGAAUACGAAGUCCCUGAUGACACUGUAAGUAUUUUAAACCGAUGUCUCAUUUUCCAAUACUAUUUCCAUCGGUAACUUACCCCUGUAUUCCUUUUGCAGGUUGACAACACCCCCCCCCAUCGGUUAGCAGGAGUGGCAAGCCGAUCGACUUGUUCCCCUCAGGCCCGAUCUCCUCAAUCGGCCACAAUGCUCCCACUCUGGCUUUCAUCAUGCAUCGGGGUGCGUGCCUCAAGAAAGUUACCACUAGGAAAACUCAGACAUCGCCAAUGGUAACUGCUUCCACUCUGGCGCAAGCUUUCAAGGCAAUUUGUCAAACCCUUUUCAUUUAUGCUGACUAUCUUUGUAUCGGCUAUCUGUGCUCAUAAACUCCUUUUUGUUGUUGCAGCAAACUGGUGCAUCGGCAAAAGCCAAACGCCAAGGUACCGAUGCCCCCCAGUCUAGCCAGCCAAAGAGGAAGGGCACCCAAGGUGCUAAGGCUGGAACAAAGCGCCAGAAAGUGGCAACUCCCCCUCCUCCUCCGGUGUCUCCAAUCCCGGUGGAAUCUUCCCCCUCUUCUCCAGAAGUCCAGACACAGCAAGCACCAUCUCCCCAAACAAUGCAGGAAGCACCACAGAUGGAAGAACCCUAGCAGGAAGAACUUCAAACAGAAGGUACAUCAGCUGACGUGGGUGAACAAACGACUGGCCCGGCAGGUCCAGUUAUAUCAUCGGCGGUUUCCCCAAUUCAGACAACUGUUGUUCCUCCUCCGGGUAACAUAUCUCAACAAUACUUCCGCCGAUAAACUUAUUCUCAUUUAGUCUCAUAACCCUUCCUGUCUUCUUUCAGGCGAUAUCGUUCCAUCGGCAACAUUUGCCGAUCAACCUGUAGCUCCAUCGGUAUCUUUGAGUCAAAGGCAAGAAAUUGCCUUGAAACAAGUAAGUCAUCCAAUUUUUCCACCAGCAUCGUCUGCCGAAGCUUUGACCAUAAAAAUGACUUAUUUCAUUCUCAUUUUCAGGAACAAGAUUCUCCCGAUAGCUUAUUCUCCUUCGCCAUUGAUAUCUUCGAAGAAGAAGGUGAGGAAGCAAGCUCCUCUCAGGCAAUUGGGACUGUAUCGGCAGAAACCAGGGCUAAGCUGGAGGAGCUAUCGGCCAUACUUCAUCAAGACACAGCUUAACUGGUCAACGAUUCUGACCCAGCCAAGGCCCUGUUCAAAACCCUUAGAGGCCAAAUUCCUGCCGAUGCUGAAGAAACCCUCUUCCAUGCUGCACACCUAGAAAGCCGCCAGCUACAGUACCAGAGAGCCACUCGACGCCUUGCCGAUAGAGCCGCUCAAAUCCAGCUUUCUGAGGAGAUGAUGAAAGAAAAACUCUUAGCCGAUGAGAAACAUAAGAACAUCGGCACCUUAAAGUCCUCAGGUGAUGCACUGAAGCAGAAAGUAUCUGAUCUGUCGGCAAAAAGAGAAGCUCUACUGGCCGAACUCAAGCAAGUAGAGGAUGCUCUGUCCCAAGCCCAGCAAGAAGAGAGUCAACUGCCGGAGACCAUCAAGCACCUUGAACAAGAACGAAACGUCCACGGUCGCAAAGCGCUGCAGCUGAAGAGGAAGCUGAAGCCGAUAGAAGGUUCUACCGAUGAUGAUAUCAAAGAGAUAGAGACAGCCAAUCAGAUCCGGCUGCGCGCCAUAUCGGCAAUCCAAGCACUGCUGAACAUCUGAAGCUUUCAUCGGCAACACACCUUUGUUUUCUCGCUUUUAGCUCUUAGUCUAGCCGAUAAGACUGUUAUCGGCAUCUUUUGAAACAUUAAGUCUGCCCCCAAACAUUUAAAUCCAGCCGAUAGGAGUGUUAUCGGCACUUAAACUUUUAUGCAUCGACCCAUAUGCUGGGGUAGUACUUCUUUAAAUAUUUGCCAUUUAAUGCUCUGGGAAAUUCAACUCCUUCGAGAGUUUCUAGAAUAUAGGCAUUACCAGGAGCCGAGUGUCUUAUCCGAUAAGGACCUUCCCAAUUAGGAGACCACUUCCCAAACUUCGAACUUUUAGUCCCGACUGGCAAAAUCAACUUCCAUACUAAAUCCCCAUCGGCAAACUCCUUAGCCUUUACUUUCUUAUCAUACCAUCUAGGAACUCUCUUCUUAUUUUCUUCUAUACUCAUUAAAGCCUUUAACCGAUGCCCUGCUAAAUCAUCUAACUCAUCGUCAUCAAAGUGGCAUAAUCAUCGGCGGCCAAUUGAUCUUGAAAAGAUAAUCGCCUAGAUUCAGCCUUAAUCUCCCAUGGCAACACUGCAUCAUGUCCAUACACCAAUUGAUAGGGUGACACCUUGGUUGAUCCAUGACAAGCCAUCCGAUAAGACCAUAGUGCUUCAUUUAACAAUGUAUGCCACCGCCUAGGAUUUUCUUCAAUCUUUCGUUUAAUAAGCUUGAUAAUUCCUUUGUUAGACGCUUCGGCCUGCCCAUUGGCUUGAGCAUAGUAAGGAGAAGAAUUCAACACUUUAAUUCCCAUACCGAUUGCGAAUUCAUCGAACUCCCCCGACGUGAACAUGGUGCCCUGAUCGGUAGUAAUCGUUUGGGGAAUCCCAAAUCGGUAAAUAAUAUGCUCCUUCACAAAAUCAAUCAUAUUGGCCGAUGUGACUUUCUUCAAAGGAAUAGCUUCGACCCACUUAGUGAAAUAGUCAGUGGCAACUAGAAUGAACUUAUGCCCUUUGCUAGAUGGUGGAUAAAUCUGGCCAAUCAGAUCGAUGGCCCAUCCCCGGAACGGCCAAGGUUUUAUUAUAGGAUUCAUAGCCGAUGCGGGUGCUCUCUGGAUAUUACCGAACUUUUGACAACCUUGACAUCCCUUGAAAUAUUUAAAACAAUCUUCAAGUAUGGUUGGCCAAAAAUAUCCAUUCCUUCGAAUCAUCCACUUCAUCUUAAAAGCUGACUGAUGCGCUCCACACACUCCUUCAUGGAUUUCCCCCAUCAAACUUCUGGCUUCAUCAUCACCCAAGCAUCGGAGAAGAAUUCCGUCGACAGUUCGAUAAUACAAUUCAUUUUCAAGGAGCACAUACUUGGUUGCCUGAAAUCGAACCCGUCUUUCAACUUUUUUGGAUGGAUCUUUUAGAUAAUCAAUAAUUUCUUUCCUCCAAUCACCGGCACUGACUGCCGAUGUCGCAUUAAUCAUUGGCUGAUAUCCCGAGGCAUGCUGGGCUAACCGAUUAGCGUCUUCAUUAUGCAAUCGGGGAACAUGCUCCAAUCGGAAGUCCUUGAAUUCCUUUAACAGUUGCAUACUUCUCUCGAAAUAGGUUAUGAGAACUUCACUUCGGCAUUCAUAGCUUCCGGCCAAUUGAUUUAUAACCAACAUAGAAUCCCCGAAUAUUUCAACAGCAUCAGCCCGAACUUCUCUUAACAACUCCAAUCCCUUGAUCAGAGCUUGAUACUCAGCCUGAUUAUUUGUUGAUGUAGCAACAAUCGGCAAGGAAAACUCAUACUUCCUCCCCUUAGGAGAAACUAAUACAAUGCCGAUUCCUGCCCCCCGGUCACAGGUAGAUCCAUCAAAGAAGAGCGUCCAGGGUGCAAUUUCCAAGGUUUCCACUAGACCGCAAUGCUGAGUCACAAAAUCGGCCAUAAUCUGCCCUUUGACUGCCUUAGCCGAUUCGUAACGCAAAUCGAACUCCGACAGCGCUAAAAUCCAUUUACCGAUCCUACCACUCAUAAUCGGCAUAGAUAGUAUGUAUCGGACCACGUCAUCUUUGCAAACAACAGCACAUUCGGCCGAUAACAGGUAAUGUCUCAGCUUGAUACAUGAAAAAUAUAAGCAUAAGCACAGUUUCUCAAUGGCCGAAUACCUGGUUUCAGCAUCAAUCAACCUCCUACUCAAAUAAUAAAUUACCCUCUCUUUCCCUUCAAAUUCUUGAACUAAAGCUGAACCGAUAACCGAUCCAUCGGUAGAUAAAUACAAUUUGAAGGGCUUCCCUUGUUGAGGUGGAACUGAGAUGAUACGACAAUAAUAAUUUAGGGACCGGUGCUGGACUUUAUAAAAAACCGAUGAAACUCGACCAAAUCAAAGGGUUCACUCUUAAAUUUUGCAUAAGCCAACAAGUGGGUUCUAGAGUUAUCCCGAAAGAAUCAUGAGGCAAGAACACCAAAAAGUUCGCCAAAAUAAAAAUCAUCGAUCUUUGCGUGUUCGAGUUGAUUCAAUCGAAUUCACGUUAGGAGUAGCUUCAACUCAUGUCAUAGCACGAAUCAACGGAAAAAAUGAACCGGUUCUGACUCAAAUCGAUGAAAUGCAAAAUCUCCAAAAUUGCUCUUAAAACACAGGAAAAAGGGAAAAAAAAGAUAUGUAGAGGGGAACAAGUGGUGCACCAAAUUGAUUCCUAGAUAAAGCCACUCCUAGCCUAAACAAGCUAAGAUGACAAAAAGCUUAUGAACAAGAGCCACACCUCUCUCUAAUCUUAGCCUCUUCUCAAAAUCACACAAAUGAGAAUGACCCCUCCAAGGAUUGGUUCCCAACCAGCCCCUUCACAUAUAUAUAGGCAUCCGUCAAAAGAUAAAAACACCCUCAGAUAAGGUACUCAUCCCAAAUACCCGCUAGGGGUAAAUCUGUCCAAGGUUUCUUCGUCGAUCCAAUGCACCUGGCGCCUUCUUGACUUCGCUGUGCCUUGAUGCAAGCUUCGAGAUACCACCACGUGUGUGUCAAUCCCCCACUCUCUAGUUUUAAGGCCAAAAUCGGUCAAAACCGUUACCAAUGGUUUUGAGGCCCAAACUAUCAAACCGUUCAUGUCUGGUUUUGAGGCCUAUACCAGCAAACCAUCAAUCCCCGAUUUUAAGGACCAAACCAGAAAACCUUCCGAGGGUUUUGAGAACGAAACCAUCAAACCCCUGUGCACGCCUUGCUAGGCUUGACUAACCGAUGUUGUUGCAUGUCCGACCUCCACCAAGCUUCAUGUCCUUGCCUUCCUUCUUAACUCGACCGACAUCAUCUACAUCACCCAUGUACUCUUGGGGUUAUUGAUGUUCCCAAGUGUUCACUACCAUGGCUGGUCACCAAGCCUUAUGGUCCCUCGAUCCAUGCCUCAUGUCUAUCCUUCACCACCCUCAGUCCAUUGACAUGGCACAUACAUACUGGACAUUCACCUCAUAGUCGACCACCGCACACCACAAACCAGGAGACAUGUUGCACAUCUCAACUCACGCCAUGGUUAGUUCACCAACUCGACCCAAGAUGCAAGUCACAUUGACAAUCGUUCUUCACAAAUGAACCAUAAGGGCAUAUAUUAACCUUGUGUUUGUGGUUGUGGACCAUCCCUAGCCGAGAGCCAUGUCCGGAUACGGAAGAUGGAGCCUCCAAUCGUAAUGUACCCCAUGCAUAGGGCACGAUCCUUCUCCACGUGGCUCCCCAAACUCCGCCAUGAAGUCUCUAGGGCCAUACUUGGUGACACAGAUGUUUUGCUAAGCCAUGUGCAGCUGUCUGCCAGAGCAUAAGCCACCACAAUGCAUUGGAGCGUAGCCCACCGGUGAUGAGGUGAGUAUGGUUGCCUCUCGAUGCAUUGCAUUCUCGCAAAAUGAUGCUAAUGCGGUGGCGCACAGGGCGUUGUUGGGCGAGGGUAGGCACGUGCACCGUGUCGGGCUUGGCAGUGAUGAUGGAGUGGGUAGGAUCUAGGAGCAGGGGUAAUACAGUACGGCUGUGGAUGCUUUCCAGGGGAACAUGAGGCGGGCAUAGAAGUAGGCAGAGAUGAUGCGGUUGACAAGAUGGGUAGGAGUGAGCAAAAUGGCUGGUCCCCUGGUAGAGGAUGCAGCUAACAGGGUCUCGGCACUUAGUGACGUAGUUGUCGGAAGCGAGGCAGCAAAAACAAUGCUCGGCGAAGCACCUGUUUAAGGUGUCCAGAGCCGAGUUGGACACACCUUUGACUGGCGGUGUCCAGAGCACUAUGUUUUUGGUGUCCUAUCUUCGCCUUUUUCCGUUCGGGUGAAAGCAGAUCCUCCUGCUCCUUACCCAUCUCCCAGUGCGUGGCAGAGAUAUAGUUAAUGCCCUUCGCUUGCGGGGUCUCCGGCGGCCGGCGCCAUAGAGCCACAGGAGAGCCAUGGACUUGGAAGUGCCGUAUCACCGUAUGAGGAAAGAGCACUUAGAUCCACACAUUGCCCGGUCGUCUUCCAAGGUUGGUGCAAAGCUUCAGGCGACACAGGCACAUGGGUAGGCUGGACAAGCACGACCUUGUUUAGUUCUCACCAAAAUCUAAAAAGUUUUCAAGAUUCUCCGUCACAUCGAAUCUUGCGGCAUAUGCAUGAAGCACUAAAUAUAGACGAAAACAAAAACUAAUUAUACAGUUUGCCUGUAAAUCGCUAGACGAAUCUUUUGAUCCUAGCUAGUCUAUGAUUAGAUAAUAUUUGCCACAAAUAAACGAAAGUGCUACAGUGGUAAAAUCCAAAAAAAUUUCAUAUCUAAACAAGGCCCAAUUUGAGCUUGGCCAAUGCAGCACCUCCAGUUUGCGUUGGGUCUUUAGGCUUGUGACUACCCAGUUUAAAGUUUUAGGCGUGAUCGGCUUCCCUAUUGUUGUUGGGAAGCAUGGUGAAGUCUGUCUCUUUGGAGAAGAGUAAAGCAGCAACGAUCUUCGGACUGCGUAACGCAAAGCUGUUUUCCCACUUUUAUCUGUCAUGUUAAUGAGUUUGUGAAGCUCUUGUGAUUCGAGGAUGAAUUCUACAAACUCCACCUGACCUUGGCAUACUGCUUCGUGAAGACAUGUCCAACCAUUUGCAUUGUUAAUAUGGAGUAUCUGGACAAUGCCUAACAAGCUACUUCCCCUACUUAGACUUGAUUCACCGCGUAUGAUGCUAAGAGUUUUGACGGCUAGCACAGCUCACUGCCGGCAUGGCAUCAGCCGGCUAUUUCCCCUCGUUCCUUGUCACAUAAUCCCGAUUGACCGGGGUCCUCUGUUUUGACCAGUGAACGGCCAUCCAACCCCGCAUCGAGCCACAAGGAAAAAGGAUCUAGUUAUGGCAUUUCUUGCCAGGAGACUUACAAAAUGCAUUUUGCCACGUACACGAAUGAUAGAAAAUAAGGAAACAUCCAAACCAGGAAGAAGUCCGUUUUUAGCCAUGUAAGUAUCACUCAAGUUUGAUUUGAGACACCGAACAUGAAAACUUCUUUGGCAACUUUUUAUCGAAAAUGAUAUAUAUAUAUAUAUAUUUCUGCUGAGUUUUAACUUGCGGUGUAGAAUAAUAUUCUAUAUAUAUAUAUAUAUAUAUAUAUAUAUAUAUAUAUAUAUAUAUAUAUAUAUAUAUAUAUAUAUAUAUAUAUAUAAUACAAAGAUUAGGAAUACAAAUUCUCUGAAAACAGACUCACAAUAGUAUUAAAAUCCUUAACUGCUUCUAAGGAGAGUAUCGAGGCAGAAGAGCGCUUCAAUGUCAAAUCCCAUGAAAGCCUCUUGUUGACAUUCAAAAAUGUCCAAUCAUAGAUUAUUGGCAUCUUCAAUAUGUUCUAACUAUCAUGAACAUGUUGAAAGUUGAUUAGCGUGACAAAUAGUCAAAGAAACAAGCCAAGAAGAAGGCAAGUCACGUGAGCAUGUCCAAGUCGGCUUACCUGACACCCCAAGUCGGCUAACCCAUCUUCCAACUUCCACAAAUGAAGGAAUGGACUUCUCCAUUCUGUUCCUCUCAUCGAGCUGAUUGUAAAACAUAUAUGGAUCGCAAUGUUUGGAGUACAAAUGAAUUAAUCACUACUACAAAUAAUAUUUUUCGAGGCGUUUUGAAAUGGGCCACCGAGGUAGGCAUUUUCAACUGCCUCAGUUAAUGAUAGGCAUUAACCGAGGCGGUCGUAAAAUCGAUUAACCAAGCUAGGCAAGUUAAAAUACCUGCCUCGGUUAAUAAGGGUUAACUGACAUGGUCAUCCUAUGACAACCGCCUCGAUAAAUUAUUAACCGAGGCAGACAUUCUAAAGCAGCCGCCUCGAUAAAUUAGACCCAGCCCGCUAGGCCCACUAGAGCCCACUAUCAUGUCAAAUAUAUAAACGAGAAGAGAAACCCUAGAAUCACUCCCUCCCCUCCCCACACUCAGCGACACUCUAGCCCCAUGCCAUCACCACCUUCCCUCCCCUCUACUACGCCGGCGCCCCUCCCCGCUCCCAUCCCUGGCCCCCUCGCCUCCCUCCCUUCCCCUUCAAUUUCCAUGCCUGCGACCCCUCCCUCCCAUCUCUCUUGGCGGCCGUCAAUCUCCCUCCUCUCAGGCACAAGCGGCGCCUCCUCUCCUCCCCUCUCCACCAUGGUGGCAGUGGCGGCGUGGGCGAGCUCUCUAUGGUGGCGUGGGCAAGCUCUGGGUGGUGGUGUGUACUAUAUCCAGUGGGGUGGAGGGCACAAUGACACUAGCCUCUCCUAUCACUAGCUGGUGGCGGCGUGGACCAAAUUCGGUGGCGCUGGCUGGUGGAAGGUAUGCCCACACAAAUUCUCUCUCCACUCACAUACAUCCCUCACCAUCUCCAUCCCUACCUUGCAGAUACGAUGAUGUCUUUGGCCCUACAAUGGCUCCCAGGAGGCAGAUCCGCCUUUCCCCUCCCUCUCCCACGAACAAGGUGGAUCCAUCAAGCGGGGACCCGGAACUACCGAUGGUGCCUAGAUCUAGCAAGCGGCUGCGAUGGUGUAGCGAUCCGGCGAGCUACGAUCAUGGCGGUGCGUGGAUGUGCUCGUCAGGCUUAUGCAUAGGUUUUUACCUUUUUUAUUCUUUUAUUCGCUUUACCAAGGCGGGUAGAAAAAUGGCUCAAAAAGUGCCAUGAUUAACUAUGACCUUUGAUCCGAGGCGGUUGGCUUGCCCACCUCGGUUAAUAUCUUUUGCCUGGAAUUUCCAUUGCCAAGUUUGCUUAGCUGACUCCCAUAGCUGGCUAAGCUAGCUCCCUCUAUUCAGCCCUGAAACAACGCUCCAGCCAACUAUCUUGUAGUCACUAUCUUAGCUAGGAUUAGUAACAAAUUAAUACAUCAACUAGUGUUGUUAGUCAAAAAUAAAUGGUAAACCAUGGCAGCAUGGGAAAGCGAUAAUAUGUCCUACUGGUGGUGGGUGUAGGGGUGGCCUCACAUCUCUAAAAGAAUAAACAAUGAAGUCCACACAACACCCCUAGAUGUGAUGACUUUCCCAUCUUCCUCAUUUCUUUUGUGUCCAUCAUGUUCCACUCCAUCUCCAAAGAAACCCUAAAUGUCACGCCUUCCACUCAUCAUCGCAAAAAGUCAAAUCAUAGCCACCACCAUGUUAGACGCAAAGACAACUCUAGUGUCCUCACCUCGGCACAAUCUAGGACUUGUCCCCCACUCCCUAUAUGCCUUUCCCCUCCCUCACCCCAAAUUCUAGCCUAGUCACCACUAAGCAUGUCCCCAAAAGUUGCUUCCACCAUCCCAGCCUAGUCAUGAUUUGAGAUUCAUCCUCCACAACAUGAAACCCUAAUGGUCACCAUUUUCCUCUACUCCAUCCUGAAAGUUUGAUUGGUCAUAGCCGCCACCAUAGGAAGCCCUAAAGACUACAUCUUUCCCUGACCCACCACUAAAUUCUAAUUAGAGCCGCCAUGCAUCGCUCGCCCCUACCGCUUCACCAUGAUCUGGGACUUGAUGGUCAUGACACCUCUUGUUGUGCAUCUUUAGGUACAUCAUGCCAUGAUUGUUGUCCUUUUUCUUCUCUUGCUGUCCUUUCGCCCACCCCCUUACUAUAUUCAUCAUCCGAUUUGACCCAUCUCUGGAUCCCCACAUGAUUAUCUUUUCUCGCUUCUUCACUAUGUUCGGAGCUUUGGGGCCUAUUUGGGGCCACUCCCUAGAUCCCUUGUGCUGAAAAGAAGCCAUCCAACUGCCACAAACGUGCAUGUGAUUCCCCUCCCCAUGCUCUUUCAACAUAGAAGGAAAAAUGGUUCUGAGACCCUAUGGGAGAAAUCACGCUAUUUUCUCAUGUGCACCUUUUUGGCAUUGGCAUGGUCACCACAAGGCCAUGUCAUGUUGUGCAUGGAUCAGGCCAAAAACUCAAGCUUCAUGUUUUGCUAUGGGCCCGUGGGCUGUGUGGCCAUCUAUAGUCAUUGCCCCUUAUGCCCUUUUCAAACUGUGCCUCCCUCUUUCCCACUAUUCCUAGCCACCACACCCUUCCCCGUAGGUGCUGACACACCCCCCUCAUCAUCACGGUGAAUGCACGACCUCUUCCUCAUCCUCACUGAUGCUGGUACCACCUCUUCUUUCUCGCCACCACCUGUGUGGACUCUUCCUUCUCAUCAGGGCCCAUGUCACUUAUUCCUCCUCUUCCCUGGCAUCAUAUCGCCCAUCGAUCUCCCUUUCCAUAGUGCAUUGCCUUAUUCCCCUCUCAAUCUAGUGUUGUGGUAGCCUGAUCUGGUGCUCCUCCUUGUGACUAGGUCACCAUGUGAGGUAAUGGUGGUGGCAGCAUCCCUAGGAGCCUCUUUGGAGAUGACAGGAAGGUGCAUAGCCUCUCUUGUAAGUUCACUCCCAAGCGCCAUAUUUUUACAUACUUUGCUUCUAAUGCAAGCUAGCCAUGGUAGAAAGUCAGUUUUGAAAGUUAGAUUUGAUUCAAAGCAUGGUUUCACAAAAACUGUUAGAAACAUUGCGGGUUUGGUGGGGAUGUUUUUUCUUCAGGGCAGACUACCGGAGAUCUGUAGUUUCCUCGCGUAAUCCAUAAAUCUGUCACAUUCGAAGGGGAAAAAGAUAGGAGAGUUUGUGACUUUCCUUUCCAUGUGGUCCGGUUGGCACUAAUUCUUAGGCUCUGCCAGCUGUGCCUGCAUGUGGGCCAAUUCAGGACCCAAGCCAUACCUAGCGUGUGGGCUAACAUUCGGGACCCGAGCCAUACCUUAGGUCAGGGGUAGGUCUAAUAUAUCCACUCUAGUGCACUGCAGCAAGAUCAGUUAGGACUAUUGUGUCUGGCUCACACCAACAUAGGCAGGAGACAAUAGAUUCCACUGCCCUAGUGGGUGCUUAUAGUGCCACCAUAAACAAAAAAUGUUUUUUGCUCACAUUGUAUUCUUCCUAUUGCUUCAUCUAUUUAUCCCAUCCUCUUGUGACCUGACAGAACUGACCCCCCUGUCCUCUUCUCCCACACUCUAACCCUCACUAACCUAUCUCCCAAAAAAUUAAUCCUAUUGUGGAUCCAUAGAUCGAGCAAGAUGAGUAGAUUGGGUAGGCUGGUGAAGGAUUCGUGCACCGGUGGAGAAUCCUAGGCAUGAAUGAGAGGGCCCGACUGAAAGGUCCUUGUUUGGUUUUAGUAAUUGAGUGACAACUUAGAUGGACUAAUAGUGUUUAUAUGAGAUACACAGGCGAUUAGUCCACAGGCGAUGAUAUGAUGAUGGAGGAGCUCAUUGCAUAUGAGACAUGACAUGGAGUCAUGUGACCAAGGUGGAGAAGAUCAAGAUGAGGCUUGGCUCGAUGGACCGGUUGCAAGAGUGAAGGGUAACUCAGAGGCUUUUAAGCGAGGGACCGCGUGUGACGGUGAAGCUAGAGCAAGACUUGGCGCUGAUGGGCCGAGGCAACGGUGAAGAGCAAGUGAGGUCAAGAUCGAUGAACUAAUACGGUCACAUGAUGAUAUGAAGUGGAUCAUAUCAUUUGGUGAUUGGUUGGUGCAUGUGUUGCAUCAACAUUGGAGGAGAUGGAAUGGAAAGCGCAAGGCAAAGGUAUAACCUAGGGCUUUUCCAUUUCACCAGUCAUAGGUGUGUAGAGUAGUUUAUGACCGGAUUUAGGAUAGAUGGCCGUACUAUCAAGUGGGGCAAACUUGUUUGCAUAUCGGUCAUCUAGUGCCACUUGAGUGACCUAACUUUGCAUAUGUGUUAGGAUCGAGUAGCAUGGCAGGUUUGAGAGGCUAAAUCCUUUGGGAAAAUGCUUGUGAAAAUGCUAACACACUUGCACAUGGUGGUGUACACUUGGUGGUGUCGGCGCUUUUGAGAAAAUUAAGUGUAUAUUUUCUAUUGCGCCGGUGGGAAAUUUGGAGAAGUUACAAGAGUGUCACCGGACGCAGGUGUUGGCAGCACCGGACGCUAGUCCAGAGCGUCCAGUGUGGUGUCUGUGGCGCAGGUGUGCACCGGACGCACCGGAGUGAGUCCGGUGCUCAGCGUCCGGUGUGCGGACGUUUUGGCGACCCUCUCAGCGCAUGAGUCCGGUGAGCACCGGACGCUCAGGGUGCGUCCGGUGGCUCGCGUCCGGUGAUCCUGCGAGUUUGCGGAACUCUCUGCGCACGGGUCCGGUGUGCACCGGACGCGUCCGAUGUGACGCAGUAGAGCGUCCGGUGGUGCUCUGAAGGCGCGCGUGCGCAGUAGCCGUUGGCGGCAACGGUCGAGUUCAAAUGGCUAGUGACAUGUGGCUGACGCCUAAGCACCGGACGCUGGGUUUAGCGUCCGAUGGCUCCCAGUGAGUGUCCGGUGCCCACGUGUUUUGCCCAGUGAAGGGGCAACAGCUAGUUUAGCCAUUGGGGCUAUAAAUAGGAGUGGUGGCUGGCCUUGGCUGGUGCUGAGCACCCUUGGGACUUAGUGUCCAUGCUUGGGUAGUGCUAGGAAAGCCUCUAACUCACUUGUGCUUGCAAGAGUGCGAAUCAAUAGCGAGUGAGUGAUUCUAGUGCGUUGCAUUGAGAGAUUGCAUCGAGUGGCACUAGGCGUUCGUGUUGCAAGCCGGUGGUGCUUGUUACUCUUGGAGGUUGCCACCUCCUAGAUGGCUUGCUGGCUUGUGACUCCAUCGAAGCACGCAAGGAGAUUGUGCGGUGCUCCGGAGAAGAGAUUGUGAGGGGUACGGUGCUCACCCCAUGGGGAUCGCGAAGAGCAACUCUAGUUGAGCGAGAUGUGAAGAGCGACAAGUGGUCCGGCCGGGUCAAGUGCUAGAGCUUGUGGUAAGCACUCCACGUGGGAGAGUGUGACUUGUGGGUCACCACUAGCAAGAGGACCGGCGGCAACCUUGGAGCUUGUCUCAACGGGGACGUAGCUUGGUGGCAACCAAGUGAACCUCGGGAGAAAAUCAUUGCGUCAACAUUUGUUCUUCCCGUUGGUUUGCAAGUCCCUAACACAAGCUUGUUCUUACUUUCAUAUACUUGUGCUUGUGUAGUUGCUCUUGUAAUUAGUUAGCUUGUGUAGCUUUCUAGUUACCUUCUUGCUUGUGUAGCUAGAAGUAGUUCCCUUGCGUGACUAAUUUGGUUUGUGUAACCUUGUUAGUCACAUUACUUAGUUUGUGUAGCUAAGUAAGUUGCGCUCUCUAAUUUGGCGUUAGUUGCCUUGUUUUUGAGCUUGCUAGUGAGCUUAGUCCUUGUGAACUUUGCCUCACUAGUUUGUGUAGGAGCUACCCCGGUUUGCAAAGUACUAGUUGCAUAGAUUUGUGUGACCUUGCUUCUAGAUUUGGUUAGGUGAGCUCUUGCUAAGGUAGCACCUUGCUUGCUUGUUUAGGAUCUUUUCAAGGUGCUAGAGAACUUAGAUAGAGGGGUGUAGUCUUGGCUAGACCGAUAGUUUUAGUUCCGCACUUGUUUCGGUUAGCCGGCGUGUUAAAGUUUUAGAAAGGACUAUUCACGCCUCCUCUAGUCCGCCAUCUCGACCCUUCACCGACCCACCAUGGGGACAGGAAGGCACUCCUCUAUCGAUGUGCCUGUGAGCUACCGCUGGCAGGGACAGGAAGUGCUCCUCGGUGCUGUGGUGCCAGCGGUAGCCAGUGAGCCAAGCAGCGCGUCAGAUACUAGUUGGCGCAAGCGGCUAUCAGCUUCGACCCCGCUGACUGACAACAUCAUGGUCUAACUAGGAGCUCAUUAGCGGGAUGUGGCUGGCUCUAACAGUGCAGACUGCUUGCUCAUCUAGGAGCUCCAUGAGGAUGAUGCGGAAGAUGUCGGCACUGUGCACCGGGAUAGCAUUGGACAUGGAGUGCCAUGUUGAGUCCGAGAUAGGUUUUUUAUCCUACACGGUGGAACUCAUAUGUAGGCUGGUUUUUGCCUCUGACAACCAUGGUAUGGAUGCUCCAUUGUUGAUGGUUUGAUUAUAGUGAUUCAUGGUUGAAUUCUGAUCCACAACAAAAUUUAUCGCCCCCUAUAUUUCAUGUUGUGAAAAAUUUGAGCUUUGCAUGGAUUCUUGCAGAUACUACGAGUGUCAGCACUAAUGCAUAGCAUCAUUUGCUAGCAUGGACAUGCAUUGAAGUAAUCAUCUUUGCUCAUCUCAUCUCCACCUUAUAUGGUAGCUAACAAUGCAUACUUUCUUGGUUUUACUGUACGUGUAGGAAUUCAUUAAUGAGGUCUACAUUGUAGUCAUCUCUCUUCCUUUGUUUGGAUCGUUAUGUUGCCAAAAUAUUCAAUAUAAACCAUACUAUGAGUUUUCAAAAAUUUGAAACUAUGCACCCUAAUAGGGUAUUUGUAUUUGUGCAUUGUCACAAAAUUUAAGAUUCAAACUCGUUUUAAAAAAGUCAUAUAAAAAUAACAAAUUUCAUUUGCAUAUGCACUAGAGGACCAAUUUUGUCCACUAGUGCAUAUGCAAAUAAAAUUUGUUUGUCCUCUAGUGUAUAUGCAAAUGAAAUUUGUUAUUUCCAUACAUAAAUUUGGAAAAGGGGUUUGAAUCUCAAAUUUUGUGACAAUGCACAUCUACAUAUGCACUAUUGGUGUGCAUAGUUUCAAUUCUUUUGAAGACUCAUAAGUAUAGUUUUAAUGGGGUUUUCAUGGAUUGCUCUUAAUAUUUUUCCUGUUAUGUUAGUGUUUUAUAUUGUAUGAAUAAAUAUGUACGACGCAGGAUGUGUAUUAUUUUCUUUUUGAUAAGAUGCUUUGUGUUAUGUUCGUAAUACCGUUGGGCCUAGCUCCUAGUUUCUUUUUCCUUGUACCUUCUUUGUUUUAGUGUUCUCUAUAUAUCUGGUGUGUGUUCGGUUCACAUCCAUGAAUAUUCCAUGCAUUUCGAACAUCUAUGUUUUCUUGGUCGUUCAACUGACAUUGUGGAUCGGAGCACCGAUUGAUCGAGCACUUGCAGAUGAACGCAGAGCUGUGGGUGCAGUCACCACGUCUGCUCAAACGCAAAAUCAACUUUCUGAGGUAUAACAAGCGGGUGGCGGAGGGGCAAUGGGCUGUGAUGGACGUGUCUGUCGAUGGCAUCCUUGGACCGCCAGCAGGUAGCCGCACCACUGAUGCCGCCGUCGUUGCAAACAACACAACAGGCUGCAGGCUGCUGCCGUCCGGCUGCCUCAUUGAAGACAUGGGCAAGGGCAAUGGCUAUUGCAAGGUAUACGUACAUUCCAACAACUGCUUAGGAGUAUUAUUACUACAAUCCCUCCAUAAACAGUAAAUAUAUUUUAGAAUUCAGACCUUCAAACUUGAAAUUCUCUCUUGCAUUGCAGAUCACAUGGGUUGUCCACGCGGAGUAUGACGAGACCAUGGUGCCAACAUUGUCCAACUCCAGCUUUCGGCGUGCACCGCUGGCUCGCGACGCUGCAGAGGCAGUACGAGUACCUCGCUGUUCUGCACUCCAGCUAGGUCCCAAGAGGCGACAACGACAACAACACAGGUGAGUCAUGUCAUGGACAACAAGGAAACUGUCCAUAUUUAACCUUUGAUUUCAUUUUUCAUGUUAGUGUUUUAUAUUGUAUGAAUCAAUAUUUCGACGAACCAAGAUGGAUGUGUAUGACAAGUCAUGCAGUCCUUUGUUUUUUCAGGGAGGCGUGAGGUGUUUCGUUUGGGUCCAAGAUCACAAGACUAAUGUGACAAACUUGUGUGUGUUGCACACUCUACUUCUAGCAAAUGGAAACAGCUGUUCUUGCUUGUAGAACUAGAGAAGGGGAGGAACUGCAGCGUCAAUAUACAGUUGCUGGAACUAAUGACAGACUAGCAGAGCUGGAGUGUGACCAUUUCUCCCUAAGGUAAUCUUUUUCAAUACUAGGCAGAUUUCUGCAUUUCCUCAUUGAUUGCCAUGUAGUAUGCAUCUCUACCUAGUAGUGUACCAUUUUUUAGUGGGCGAAAGCAAAGAGCAUGGUUUAUCAUACAUAUCUAUUCAUACACAGUACAUAGUUCUUCAAUUCUACCUUUAUUAUAAACUAUGAAAGAUAGCUGAGCUAAGGUACUCUCCUUUAUCCAGGCUUCAUAGUACGAAUCAAUAUGUUAGUGUUUUAUAUUGUAUGAAUAAAUAUGUAUGACGCAGGAUGUGUAUUAUUUUCUUUUUGAUAAGAGGCUUUGUGUUAUGUUCGUAAUACCGUUGGGCCUAGCUCCUAGUUUCUUUUUCCUUGUACCUUCUUUGUUUUAGUGUUCUCUAUAUAUCUGGUGUGUGUUCGGUUCACAUCCAUGAAUAUUCUGUGAAUUUCGAACAUCUAUGUUUUCUUGGUCGUUCAACUGACAUUGUGGAUCGGAGCACCGAUUGAUCGAGCACUUGCAGAUGAACGCAGAGCUGUGGGUGCAGUCACCACGUCUGCUCAAACGCAAAAUCAACUUUCUGAGGUAUAACAAGCGGGUGGCGGAGGGGCAAUGGGCUGUGAUGGACGUGUCUGUCGAUGGCAUCCUUGGACGCCGCACCACUGAUGCCGCCGUCGUUGCAAACAACACAACAGGCUGCAGGCUGCUGCCGUCCGACUGUCUCAUUGAAGACAUGGGCAAGGGCAAUGGCUACUACAAGGUAUACAUACAUUCCAACUCCUGCUUAGGAGUAUUAUUACUACAAUCCCUCCAUAAACAUUAAAUAUAUUUUAGAAUUCAGACCUUCAAACUUGAAAUUCUCUCUUGCAUUGCAGAUCACAUGGGUUGUCCACGCGGAGUAUGACGAGACCAUGGUGCCAACAUUGUCCAACUCCAGCUUUCGGCGCGCACCGCUGGCUCGCGACGCUGCAGAGGCAGUAUGAGUACCUCGCUGUUCUGCACUCCAGCCAGGUCCCAAGAGGCGACAACGACAACAACACAGGUCAGUCAUGUCAUGGACAACAAGGAAACUAUCCAUAUUUAACCUUUGAUUUCAUUUUUCAUGUUAGUGUUUUAUAUUGUAUGAAUCAAUACUUUGACGAACCAAGAUGGAUGUGUAUGACAAGUCAUGCAGUCCUUUGUUUUUUCAGGGAGGCGUGAGGUGUUUCGUUUGGGUCCAAGAUCACAAGACUAAUGUGACAAACUUGUGUGUGUUGCACACUCUACUUCUAGCAAAUGGAAACAGCUGUUCUUGCUUGUAGAACUAGAGAAGGGGAGGAACUGCAGCGUCAAUAUACAGUUGCUGGAACUAAUGACAGACUAGCAGAGCUGGAGUGUGACCAUUUCUCCCUAAGGUAAUCUUUUUCAAUACUAGGCAGAUUUCUGCAUUUCCUCAUUGAUUGCCAUGUAGUAUGCAUCUCUACCUAGUAGUGUACCAUUUUUUAGUGGGCGAAAGCAAAGAGCAUGGUUUAUCAUACAUAUCUAUUCAUACACAGUACAUAGUUCUUCAAUUCUACCUUUAUUAUAAACUAUGAUAGGUAGCUGAGCUAAGGUACUCUCCUUUAUCCAGGCUUCAUAGUACGAAUCAAUAUGUUAGUGUUUUAUAUUGUAUGAAUCAAUAUGUACGACGCAGGAUGUGUAUUAUUUUCUUUUUGAUAAGAUGUUGUGUGUUAUGUUUGUAAUACUAUUGGGCCUAGCUCCUAGUUUCUUUUUCCUUGUACCUUCUUUGUUUUAGUGUUCUCUAUAUAUCUGGUGUGUGUUCGGUUCGCAUCCAUGAAUAUUAUGUGCAUUUCGAACAUCUAUGUUUUCUUGGUCGUUCAACUGACAUUGUAGAUCGGAGCACCGAUUGAUCGAGCACUUGCAGAUGAACGGAGAGCUGUGGGUGCAGUCGCCACGUCUUCUCAACCGCAAAAUCAACUUUCUGAGGUAUAACAAGCGGGUGGCGGAGGGGCAGUGGGCUGUGAUGGACGUGUCUGUCGACGGCAUCCUUGGACUGCCAGCAGGUAGCCGCACCACUGAUGACGCCGCCAUUGCAAACAACACAACAGGCUGCAGGCUGCUGCUGUCCGGCUGCCUCAUUGAGGACAUGGGCAAGGGCAAUGGCUACUGCAAGGUAUACGUACCGUCCAACUCCAGCUUAGGAGUAUUAUUACUACAAUCCCUCCAUAAAUAGUAAAUAUGUUUUAGAAUUCAGACCUUCAAACUUGAAAUUCUCUCUUGCAUUGCAGAUCACAUGGGUUGUCCACGCGGAGUAUGACGAGACCAUGGUGCCAACAUUCAGGCCACUGCUCCGCUCCGGUAAGGCUUUCGGCGUGCGCCGCUGGCUCGCGACGCUGCAGAGGCAGUACGAGUACCUCGCUGUUCUGCACUCCAGCCAGGUCCCAAGAGGCGACAACGACAACAACACAGGUCAGUCAUGUCAUGGACAACAAGGAAACUAUCCAUAUUUAACCUUUGAUUUCAUUUUUCAUGUUAGUGUUUUAUAUUGUAUGAAUCAAUACUUUGACGAACCAAGAUGGAUGUGUAUGACAAGUCAUGCAGUCCUUUGUUUUUUCAGGGAGGCGUGAGGUGUUUCGUUUGGGUCCAAGAUCACAAGACUAAUGUGACAAAGUUGUGUGUGUUGCACACUCUACUUCUAGCAAAUGGAAACAGCUGUUCUUGCUUGUAGAACUAGAGAAGGGGAGGAACUGCAGCGUCUAUAUACAGUUGGUGGAACUAAUGACAGACUAGCAGAGCUGGAGUGUGACCAUUUCACCCUAAGGUAAUCCUUUUCAAUACUAGGCAGAUUUCUGCAUUUCCUCAUUGAUUGCCAUGUAGUAUGCAUCUCUACCUAGUGGUGUACAAUUUUUUAAUGGGCGAAAGCAAAGAGCAUGGUUUAUCAUACAUAUCUAUUCAUACACAGUACAUAGUUCUUCAAUUCUACCUUUAUUAUAAACUAUGAAAGGUAGCUAAGCUAAGGUACUCUCCUUUAGCCAGGCUUCAUAGUACGAAUCAAUAUGUUAGUGUUUUAUAUAGUAUGAAUAAAUAUGUACGACGCAGGAUGUGUAUUAUUUUCUUUUUGAUAAGAUGCUUUGUGUUAUGUUCGUAAUACCGUUGGGCCUAGCUCCUAGUUUUUUUUCCUUGUACCUUCUUUGUUUUAUAUCUGGUGUGUGUUCGGUUCACAUCCAUGAAUAUUCUGUGCAUUUCGAACAUCUAUGUUUUCUUGGUCGUUCAACUGACAUUGUGGAUCGGAGCACCGAUUGAUCGAGCACUUGCAGAUGAACGCAGAGCUGUGGGUGCAGUCACCACGUCUGCUCAAACGCAAAAUCAACUUUCUGAGGUAUAAUAAGCGGGUGGCGGAGGGGCAAUGGGCUGUGAUGGACGUGUCUGUCGAUGGCAUCCUUGGACCGCCAGCAGGUAGCCGCACCACUGAUGCCGCCGUCGUUGCAAACAACACAACAGGCUGCAGGCUGCUGCCGUCCGGCUGCCUCAUUGAAGACAUGGGCAAGGGCAAUGGCUACUGCAAGGUAUAUGUACAUUCCAACUCCUGCUUUGGAGUAUUAUUACUACAAUCCCUCCAUAAACAAUAAAUAUAUUUUAGAAUUCAGACCUUCAAACUUGAAAUUCUCUCUUGCAUUGCAUAUCACAUGUGUUGUCCACGCGGAGUAUGACGAGACCAUGGUGCCAACAUUGUCCAACUCCAGCUUUCGGCGCGCACCGCUGGCUCGCGACGCUGCAGAGGCAGUACGAGUACCUCGCUGUUCUGCACUCCAGCCAGGUCCCAAGAGGCGACAACGACAACAACACAGGUGAGUCAUGUCAUGGACAACAAGGAAACUGUCCAUAUUUAACCUUUGAUUUCAUUUUUCAUGUUAGUGUUUUAUAUUGUAUGAAUCAAUACUUCGACGAACCAAGAUGGAUGUGUAUGACAAGUCAUGCAGUCCUUUGUUUUUUCAGGGAGGCGUGAGGUGUUUCGUUUGGGUCCAAGAUCACAAGACUAAUGUGACAAAAUUGUGUGUGUUGCACACUCUACUUCUAGCAAAUGGAAACAGCUGUUCUUGCUUGUAGAACUAGAGAAGGGGAGGAACUGCAGCGUCAAUAUACAGUUGCUGGAACUAAUGACAGACUAGCAGAGCUGGAGUGUGACCAUUUCUCCCUAAGGUAAUCUUUUUCAAUACUAGGCAGAUUUCUGCAUUUCCUCAUUGAUUGCCAUGUAGUAUGCAUCUCUACCUAGUAGUGUACCAUUUUUUAGUGGGCGAAAGCAAAGAGCAUGGUUUAUCAUACAUAUCUAUUCAUACACAGUACAUAGUUCUUCAAUUCUACCUUUAUUAUAAACUAUGACAGGUAGCUGAGCUAAGGUACUCUCCUUUAUCCAGGCUUCAUAGUACGAAUCAAUAUGUUAGUGUUUUAUAUUGUAUGAAUCAAUAUGUACGACGCAGGAUGUGUAUUAUUUUCUUUUUCAUAAGAUGAUGUGUGUUAUGUUUGUAAUACUAUUGGGCCUAGCUCCUAGUUUCUUUUUCCUUGUACCUUCUUUGUUUUAGUGUUCUCUAUAUAUCUGGUGUGUGUUCGGUUCGCAUCCAUGAAUAUUAUGUGCAUUUCGAACAUCUAUGUUUUCUUGGUCGUUCAACUGACAUUGUAGAUCGGAGCACCGAUUGAUCGAGCACUUGCAGAUGAACGCAGAGCUGUGGGUGCAGUCGCCACGUCUGCUCAACCGCAAAAUCAACUUUCUGAGGUAUAACAAGCGGGUGGCGGAGGGGCAGUGGGCUGUGAUGGACGUGUCUGUCGACGGCAUCCUUGGACUGCCAGCAGGUAGCCGCACCACUGAUGACGCCGCCGUUGCAAACAACACAACAGGCUGCAGGCUGCUGCUGUCCGGCUGCCUCAUUGAGGACAUGGGCAAGGGCAAUGGCUACUGCAAGGUAUACGUACCGUCCAACUCCAGCUUAGGAGUAUUAUUACUACAAUCCCUCCAUAAAUAGUAAAUAUGUUUUAGAAUUCAGACCUUCAAACUUGAAAUUCUCUCUUGCAUUGCAGAUCACAUGGGUUGUCCACGCGGAGUAUGACGAGACCAUGGUGCCAACAUUCAGGCCACUGCUCCGCUCCGGUAAGGCUUUCGGCGCGCACCGCUGGCUCGCGACGCUGCAGAGGCAGUACGAGUACCUCGCUGUUCUGCACUCCAGCCAGGUCCCAAGAGGCGACAACGACAACAACACAGGUGAGUCAUGUCAUGGACAACAAGGAAACUGUCCAUAUUUAACCUUUGAUUUCAUUUUUCAUGUUAGUGUUUUAUAUUGUAUGAAUCAAUACUUCGACGAACCAAGAUGGAUGUGUAUGACAAGUCAUGCAGUCCUUUGUUUUUUCAGGGAGGCGUGAGGUGUUUCGUUUGGGUCCAAGAUCACAAGACUAAUGUGACAAACUUGUGUGUGUUGCACACUCUACUUCUAGCAAAUGGAAACAGCUGUUCUUGCUUGUAGAACUAGAGAAGGGGAGGAACUGCAGCGUCUAUAUACAGUUGGUGGAACUAAUGACAGACUAGCAGAGCUGGAGUGUGACCAUUUCACCCUAAGGUAAUCCUUUUCAAUACUAGGCAGAUUUCUGCAUUUCCUCAUUGAUUGCCAUGUAGUAUGCAUCUCUACCUAGUGGUGUACAAUUUUUUAAUGGGCGAAAGCAAAGAGCAUGGUUUAUCAUACAUAUCUAUUCAUACACAGUACAUAGUUCUUCAAUUCUACCUUUAUUAUAAACUAUGAAAGGUAGCUGAGCUAAGGUACUCUCCUUUAGCCAGGCUUCAUAGUACGAAUCAAUAUGUUAGUGUUUUAUAUUGUAUGAAUAAAUAUGUACGACGCAGGAUGUGUAUUAUUUUCUUUUUGAUAAGAUGCUUUGUGUUAUGUUCGUAAUACCGUUGGGCCUAGCUCCUAGUUUUUUUUCCUUGUACCUUCUUUGUUUUAGUGUUCUCUAUAUAUCUGGUGUGUGUUCGGUUCACAUCCAUGAAUAUUCUGUGCAUUUCGAACAUCUAUGUUUUCUUGGUCGUUCAACUGACAUUGUGGAUCGGAGCACCGAUUGAUCGAGCACUUGCAGAUGAACGCAGAGCUGUGGGUGCAGUCACCACGUCUGCUCAAACGCAAAAUCAACUUUCUGAGGUAUAAUAAGCGGGUGGCGGAGGGGCAAUGGGCUGUGAUGGACGUGUCUGUCGAUGGCAUCCUUGGACCGCCAGCAGGUAGCCGCACCACUGAUGCCGCCGUCGUUGCAAACAACACAACAGGCUGCAGGCUGCUGCCGUCCGGCUGCCUCAUUGAAGACAUGGGCAAGGGCAAUGGCUACUGCAAGGUAUAUGUACAUUCCAACUCCUGCUUUGGAGUAUUAUUACUACAAUCCCUCCAUAAACAGUAAAUAUAUUUUAGAAUUCAGACCUUCAAACUUGAAAUUCUCUCUUGCAUUGCAGAUCACAUGUGUUGUCCACGCGGAGUAUGACGAGACCAUGGUGCCAACAUUGUCCAACUCUAGCUUUCGGCGCGCACCGCUGGCUCGCGACGCUGCAGAGGCAGUACGAGUACCUCGCUGUUCUGCACUCCAGCCAGGUCCCAAGAGGCGACAACGACAACAACACAGGUGAGUCAUGUCAUGGACAACAAGGAAACUGUCCAUAUUUAACCUUUGAUUUCAUUUUUCAUGUUAGUGUUUUAUAUUGUAUGAAUCAAUACUUCGACGAACCAAGAUGGAUGUGUAUGACAAGUCAUGCAGUCCUUUGUUUUUUCAGGGAGGCGUGAGGUGUUUCGUUUGGGUCCAAGAUCACAAGACUAAUGUGACAAAAUUGUGUGUGUUGCACACUCUACUUCUAGCAAAUGGAAACAGCUGUUCUUGCUUGUAGAACUAGAGAAGGGGAGGAACUGCAGCGUAUAUAUACAGUUGCUAAAACUAAUGACAGACUAGCAGAGCUGGAGUGUGACCAUUUCUCCCUAAGGUAAUCUUUUUCAAUACUAGGCAGAUUUCUACAUUUCCUCAUUGAUUGCCAUGUAGUAUGCAUCUCUACCUAGUAGUGUACCAUUUUUUAGUGGGCGAAAGCAAAGAGCAUGGUUUAUCAUACAUAUCUAUUCAUACACAGUACAUAGUUCUUCAAUUCUACCUUUAUUAUAAACUAUGAAAGGUAGCUGAGCUAAGGUACUCUCCUUUAUCCAGGCUUCAUAGUACGAAUCAAUAUGUUAGUGUUUUAUAUUGUAUGAAUCAAUAUGUACGACGCAUGAUGUGUAUUAUUUUCUUUUUGAUAAGAUGUUGUGUGUUAUGUUCGUAAUACUGUUGGGCCUAGCUCCUAGUUUCUUUUUCCUUGUACCUUCUUUGUUUUAGUGUUCUCUAUAUAUCUGGUGUGUGUUCGGUUCGCAUCCAUGAAUAUUAUGUGCAUUUCGAACAUCUAUGUUUUCUUGGUCGUUCAACUGACAUUGUAGAUCGGAGCACCGAUUGAUCGAGCACUUGCAGAUGAACGCAGAGCUGUGGGUGCAGUCGCCACGUCUGCUCAACCGCAAAAUCAACUUUCUGAGGUAUAACAAGCGGGUGGCGGAGGGGCAGUGGGCUGUGAUGGACGUGUCUGUCGACGGCAUCCUUGGACUGCCAGCAGGUAGCCGCACCACUGAUGACGCCGCCGUUGCAAACAACACAACAGGCUGCAGGCUGCUGCUGUCCGGCUGCCUCAUUGAGGACAUGGGCAAGGGCAAUGGCUACUGCAAGGUAUACGUACCGUCCAACUCCAGCUUAGGAGUAUUAUUACUACAAUCCCUCCAUAAAUAGUAAAUAUGUUUUAGAAUUCAGACCUUCAAACUUGAAAUUCUCUCUUGCAUUGCAGAUCACAUGGGUUGUCCACGCGGAGUAUGACGAGACCAUGGUGCCAACAUUCAGGCCACUGCUCCGCUCCGGUAAGGCUUUCGGCGCGCACCGCUGGCUCGCAUCGCUGCAGAGGCAGUACGAGUACCUCGCUGUUCUGCACUCCAGCCAGGUCCCUAGAGGCGACAACGACAACAACACAGGUGAGUCAUGUCAUGGACAACAAGAAAACUGUCCAUAUUUAACGUUUGAUUUCAUUUUUCACGUUAGUGUUUUAUAUUGUAUGAAUCAAUACUUUGACGAACCAAGAUGGAUGUAUAUGACAAGUCAUGCAGUCCUUUGUUUUUUCAGGGACGCGUGAGGUGUUUCGUUUGGGUCCAAGAUCACAAGACUAAUGUGACAAACUUGUGUGUGCUGCACACUCUACUUCUAGCAAAUGGAAACAGCUGUUCUUGCUUGUAGAACUAGAGAAGUGGAGGAACUGCAGCGUCUAUAUACAGUUGGUGGAACUAAUGACAGACCAGCAGAGCUGGAGUGUGACCAUUUCACCCUAAGGUAAUCCUUUUCAAUACUAGGCAGAUUUCUGCUUUUCCUCAUUGAUUGACAUGUAGUAUGCAUCUCUACCUAGUGGUGUACAAUUUUUUAAUGGGUGUGAGCAAAGAGCAUGGUUUAUCAUACAUAUCUAUUCAUACACAGUACAUAGUUCUUCAAUUCUACCAUUAUUAUAAACUAUGAAAGGUAGCUGAGCUAAUUAAGGCUACUCUCCUUUAGCCAGGCUUCAUACUGUUAGCUUUGUUGUUUGUUUUUCGUUCUACACCUAGCAUUGCUCAUAAUUUUACUACCUCAUUUAAUUGUUUUGUUGAUGUGUAAUCGAUGUUUUUCGUUGAUAAAUGGAAAAGGGGUCAACCCAAUUCAAAAACAAAAUACUUUUGACUUUAUAUUAUACAUGCGAUCUUUUGUUGUCUGCAAGCACAAACAAUGCAUGGGCAUUAUUGCAUGUUGGUUAUAGCAACAUCACACAUAUCUGUGUUACUCACCUCUCUCUCUCUCUCUCACACACACACACACACACACACCACACACAUACACACACACAUGAGGUGGAGGUUGAAGAAAAGGACAAUAGAGAACACACAAGCAGAUGAGCUUCUGAACUUGUUUGGCUAUAGCAUGCCGAUGCCUCACAGGCCAUGCUGCGGUGUUGUUCACUACUUGGACCAUGCUGCCUACUACAAGUAAUAUUGUACCUACUACACCAUACUUCCACCACUUCUAUCCUAUAGACAGGAAAAUGGAGGGAACAAUCUCUGUACAGAUGUUCCUAUGAUGUGAUGAUGCAAGGGAGAUGGAGUAGUAGAUUAUCUAAUAAUUCUUUCCCUACUCAAGCUGCUACUCCUUGAUAUGAUCAUGCUCAUUCUAGCCUGAAGCUCGCGGAAUCAAAUGAGUCUAAGUGGCAUGGUGAAGAUGUCCGCGAGCUACUACCUAGAGUCGAUGAACUUGAGGACAAUUUGUCAUCCAUCGGUGCAAUCAUGGAUAAAGUUGUAACGUGUGUGGAUGUGCAGCUGCCAUGGAGAACUGUUUUUUUGGUCAAUGGCUCAUGGAGAUGGCAGGCUUGUUCUCCACCAUUAGUGCCGGUUCAGCAACCUCUUGCUCCUUGAGCUCAAAAAGAAGCUGACACAGCUGGCAGAUUGUCGUUGCUGCAACAAUAUACUCUAUUUCACAAGUAGAGUGCGACCACACUAUGCUUCUAUGAUUGUUGGGAGACGGGACUUGAUCCGAGCAUGAAGAGCAUAACUGAGGUGCUCUGCCUCAGGUGAAUGUCUCCUGCCAUGUCGGUAAACUCGAUCAGCUCUAGCGGACUACAACACUUGUAAAAAUGAUGCUGUAGCAUAGCUGGUGCUUGAUUACAGCUAGAUGAUAUUCCCCUGGCUCUUCCAUGAAAUGACUCAUGUGUAGUCUAUAGCGAUCAGCGAACCCAAGGUCUGGCUAUGUGUGAGUCAGAUAGCAUAACUUGCUAACAAUUCUCCAAUAGCGUGUCACAUUGACCUUUGGUAUGGUGGUUACCAUUGACAACUUGAUCCUCUCCUCUACCAUGCCUUGCACUUUGCUAUCCUGCACUGCUAGCUUCUAUGGGUACAUGCUCUGGCUAAGGGUGAUGGAACUCUUCCCCUACUUCACCUCUAUGUGGAAGUUGUAGGUGAGCAAACCAUGAUCGAUUAUGCAAUAAAACUAUUAGCUCAUGCUUGAAGUUCUCGAUGUCGCUCGGUCUAGACCCAGUGAUCAAUAGAUCAUCUACAUACACACUAACAACCAUAUCUACCUUCGAUACCAUAUUGAGUUGCAUGCACUAACUAGGUCAACUCAAGGUCAACUCAAUCUUAAGCUAUUGGGAGAGAGAAGGGAAAUUCACUUAUACUUCAACAAUCUCAAACCCAUCACAAGAAGUACUUCCUCCAGCACUAGCAAUUGUUCCCGAACCCCAUCACAAGUCAAAAUGGACAUAUGUUGUAGAUAUUUGUUUCAUUAUGUAUCACACAUUUACAAAACUAGUAUAAUGCCCAUGCUAAUAAAACAACAAUAUUCAAGUAUAUGCAAACCAGAACUAAGAUAUAUUUAAAGUAAAACAAUCAAAAUAUGUCCAUGUGUAAGACUUGCCAUUACAGGUCAACACAUCACAAUGUAGACCAAUGGUAUGAUUUGAGAAAUCCUUUUAGUGACUUUGACUAAAAUAUCUUCAAAAACAAAAAAAUAACAAUGUUAAGCCUUGCUAUAGAAAAAAGUAUUUCACAAAACUAGUACUUUCUCAAAUUACAUUUUGAUGUUUUCCUUUUUGAACAAUUACAUUGCAACACCACUCAUUACCAUAGAACCAAACAUAAACAAAACAAAACAAAACAUCAUGACACAUGGAAGAAAGGAUUAUAGUGGGAGCUAGAAGAACUCUAGCCUAAACUAAAGUAGGAUGAUAGUCAUCCUCCAAGCAAAAUUCACUUCCACACUUGGUUCUAUUGUAGUUAUUUUGCUCAUCAACCUAAGAAAAAGGGAUUUAGAGAACUUUAAGUUUGUUUGUUUCUUUAUGGUAUAAAUGUUUCUUUCUUUAUGUAUCAGACACUUAAAAAAUGAGAUCCAUGAGUGAAACUGUCUAUGCCCAAACACGUGUUUGAUCUCUCUCAACCUAAACUUCCUAUUCAUGAGGGUGGAACUAAUGAUGGUCGAUCUAUUUCAAUAGUUCAAACUUUGCCUAAUUAUUUUGAUUCCCAAAGACCAUUGUCUUUGUCAAGACAAUCAUCUCAAGGGAAUGAUAAAUCAACCUUUUCAAAUUGUGCCAAAAAAUGUUGUUCAAAAUGUAGUUCUCGUUAUGGCAACAAUGCAGUUACUACAGUGAAUGUUCCGACCACAUUGGCUGAAGAAAUUGUUCGAGACACAUUCAUUGAAAUAAGUGUUCUAGUGAGAAAAUAGGUAUGGCCAAGCUUAAUGAAUUACUAAUUAGUAUAAGCUAAUAUGACAGUAUAUCCUUAGAUUUGUGGAGCUCUCCCAAUAACAUUGAUGUAUUGAUAAAUAUCCUGAAUGAUGUCUCCAUUGAUGUCAGUUAUUUACCUGUUGAUGUUCCUCGAAUGAUUGUUGAAAUAAAUCAUAGACUAAUAGGAUCCUAACUUAGACUAACAUGACCACUACAUAAUUUUGUGCAGAAAUAAGAUCUUCGUGAAUAACAUGAGUUUGCAGAUGACAUCUUAGUGCCUCCGUAGAUUCAAGAGUUGACGUAGACGAAGUACAUCUUAGCCUUCACAAGAUUAGGGCUUGAUUCUCUAAGUUGGUGAGUCAAUGUAGAUCUUGCAAUACCAGGAAGGAUGUGGGUAGAUAGCCUUCUAAAAGACCUCUAGUGCCUAAUUGAUGGGCUCGAGUGUUCCUUUGGAAAAACAUCAGGGUGAAACACUUGGGGCAUGACACCAUUAUUUAUAUGAACUGCGGGUCUAGCGGUUUAACUCUAGAAAGCUUUGGGAUGACAUGGAUGACGACAAAGGCUUAUACAACAAAAUUGGCAUUAUUUGGUGGAUCUAAAAUUAUUUCUAAUAUGUUGGCUGAGAUCACAUUCUAACAAUGAUAUCAAGCAUAGAAGAAAAUAGCACACAAAAUCUUGACAGUCCAAAACAUUAGUGGUGCCAAAUGAACAUAAUAAUAGAACAAAUCAAGAUUUUCCCGAAUGAUGACUGCAAUGAGCCUAAUGUUUGUAACUCAACAAGCAACCAAGUUCCAUGUCGAGCAUCUUUGAAAAGAAAUAUUGGAUCUAUUUGUAGAAGAAAAGUAACAAUUCCACUAAUUUGGGUGAUAUUUAGGAUUUUAGAUUUUGUCAGAGAAAGCCAAAAAAGAUGAGACAGUUAUUGGAACUCAUAGGCUUUGACGAGGUAGGUGUUUCUAUAGAUGCUGUUGGAGUUGACCGUGCAAACAUUAUUGAUCUCAGCAAGGCUGAUAAAAGCAAAUUACUAUUUGAGGUAAGAAAUGAUAAUGACAGUCUCGUUAGUGAUUAGAAAGUGGGUGAAACACAAUCAAGAAUUGUCAAGAAAAUUGUGAAUCACACAGGAGUUUGGUUGAUGGUUGAUCUUCUCUAAUGAACUAGAUGAAAAAGACUCAUAAUAAGAAAAUUAGAGCAUAAAAAAGAACCCAUGAAAGAAGAAUCUUGAUUCUUAUGUCAUUUUAAACUAUAAUACAGAUACAGUUGCUUGUUGAUAAUACAGUUGCUUGUCGUGCCCACCUUGUUGUAAUACAGACCCAGGCUAGGAAAAGGUGAUAUCUACUACAAAUGCCAAGCAUCGGAAUGAAAACCAUUGGAAUCACAACUUGGAACAAAAUAUGCAGACUAUGGAUGAACUGUUCCAAAAUGAAUCAAGAAACUUGAAACAGGGGUUCUGAAAUGGAAAAUCAAUGAUUUUGCUAAAGAGAAAGGUACUGUCAACUUUAAUUUCCCAUGAUGAGAACACUGCAAGCAAUCCAAAUUAGGGACCUUUGUGCAGCUUGGCAUAGAAAUUCCAGUAUCAUACACACAAAUAGCUAGUUUGGGAUAGCAAGUGAGCAAGGCUAUGAAUCCCAAAUGACAUACACUUUCUUUAUAAUACAUUAUGAUAUAUUAUUUUACAUUGGUGCAAACAAUGGAAAAAUACAUUAAACUUUUUCUUGUUGCUCUAGAUAACUGGAUAUUAUGAAUUUUUCACUUUUAUUCAUCAUCAUAGGCUUUUCUUGAUAAACAGAAGAUCUAGAAUGGGGUGGCCUGUAUAGCAGUAUAAACUUCUUGUGUUCACAUUACCCUAAACGCGCAAUCAUCAAAAUUUAUGAAUGGUUUGAGCAGAAGGUCCCUAGUCCAGUCAUGGUGCUCGUGCUACCUGCUCUGUAUUUUGUUCAUAGUAGGGGUUACAAAAUGGGCGAGAGGGAGACGACUCCCAAGUCUCUAUGGUGUGUGCAGGUGUGGGUGUGUGUUUGCUGUCGAACUAUGGAGUUUAGUGAGCGUGUCCUAUAAGGGUCCCAAGGCCCCCCUUUUAUAACUCAAGGGGACAACUUUAGAGUACAUGUGGAAGGAAGAAGAAGGGCAGAGAAAAGAAGAAAGACAAAAACUAGGGCAUUUAGUGGAAGGAGCCCCUUACACCACUCCUUCUCUAGAACUGGGACCCAAUGGCUCGGUAGUCAAGGAUGGGGGUGGCCCCUCAUGUCACCGUGCUAUUGUCGUGGUGGCAAAAGUGGUAUGUUGUCUACCUAUAUUUAUUGCAACCAUGCCACCGCAAUUCAUGGCAUGACCUGCGUUAUGUCUAGCGGCUCUCGGAUUAACGUCGUACGCGAUUGUAAUGGCAUAGUGCUAGCCUGUCGUGCACUAUUGUGGGGCGGGCGCCCCAUGAAGUGAACUGACACAGCCUCAGUUGACGUUAGGACAUGCUAACCCCAUAUGAGAACGACAUCAUGGUACAGGCCCUCCACAAGGAGGAUGGUGGUGGACGAUCUGGGUCCCACACACCGAGGCGUUUAUUGUUUGACCCCAGCUCUCAUCCCUAGCCAUCGGGUGAAGCAGGAAAUUCAUUUGGAGGGUCAGGCGAGGCAGAGUGGGAGCUCACAGGAGUAGUGAGAUAGGUCCCACACCCUUUUUACUAAGGGAUAUGUGGGACUCGUCGUCCCUUCUUCUGAACUAGGCCAGUUCAGCGCCCUCAGGGGCCAGGCGAAGCGGAACUAAUUGUCGAGCCAUCAGACGGGCUGGGGCUCUCUUAGAGCCUUACAAGAUAUUGGGCCUCUCUUUUGAUGGCCCAAUAUCUCAUACUAGCCAUAUUCCCUUAUCGCUCCAACAGCCCUAUUGGCCUGCUAAGGCCUUUUCUUCCCGGGUCUCCCAAAUAUUGAUACCCGACAUUGCUAUUGUGUCCGAUUAGAGCUGGCUUGAGCAAUAAGGGGGAAAUAGGGUAAUGUGGGAUUCUUUCAAGGAAACUUCAAGGAACUCACCAGCAUCAACAUAUGGUUUUCAGUUUGGAAACCGACAUCAAGAAGUUGGUCCAACCCCUAUUCAUGUUUAUGAAGCUUCUAGUAACUAUGUAGCUCACAUCUAGUAAUUGUGACCUUAGACCACUACAUGAAGGAAAAAGUUAGCCACAUUCAGCCAAAAAAUGUUCCAAGCAUAGCAUUAACUAUGGACGUUGGUAGAAUUGUUGCAAGCAUAUCAUUAAUGUUGGAGGCUGGUACAAGUGUUGUAAACACAUCAUUAACUACGGAGGAUGGUAGAAGUGUUACAAGCACACCCUUAACUAUGGAGGCUGGUAGAAGUGUUGCAAACAAAUCAUUUGGUAUUGGUCGACUACAUGAUCGAGGGAUCGCUGGACGGUCUAGUGUUUUCCAAAGAAAACAUAUGGCUGCAACACAUCUUUCACGACUGGUGGAUCCAUCAACAGUGUGAGGCUUCACAAAACUAUCAAAGUGCUAACAUGCGCUAGAUGCAACUUCAAAAUAAACUCUUGGUUCACAUUACGUACAGCACAAACAAUACAAUAUGUCACCCAACACAUCAUAUCGAUGCCACCAAAUUGAAAAGGUUCCAAUGUCACUAUAAGACAUGUUUUGGCGUCAGGUCCAGCGAAACUUGCACAGACCUUUGUGCUCUCAUCCUAGAGUAGGUGCUCGGUUCAAUGCUGCAGCAGGACAUUGCCAAUUGGUCUGAGAACUAUGGGACACAGUCUGGAUACAUCCCAGGUGUGCCUAAAGGUAUAACAUCUGUUGAUAUGGAUAAAAGAGGAAACUAUGAGACCUUGAACUCAGGAAUGUUCUCAAUAGGAUGGAAUGCCCGGUUCUGUUAGCUCUGUCCCCAACCCAAAACAUCGAUUGCAAAGGCAUGGUACUAGUCAGCCAUGGACCAGUGGCAAAGGGGAAAAUGUUCCAUCGUUUGGAUAAGCUUAUGAGAAAGGAUAUCUGGGUUACUAAUUAAAACUGAGCAGAUUUUACUGUAAUUAGUGAUAUGAGGAAGUAUACGAGAAAUCUUUAAGGUAGAGAGGAGUGUUGUAGUUGGAAAACAGUUCGAUUGCAUAAAUUUCACUUUGUUAAGCGAUUAUUAUCUGUAUAGGAUAGAGGAAGGGCUUCACUGAAUCUUGUGCAAGAUAAAAUAUCAAGUCACUUUUUCCCUUUCACCGAACCACUUCAAUGAAAAAUCAAGGUUACUUCAUUUUAUCGUGUAUGCAGAAUGUGUGCCAUACACUAGUGGAUGGACUAUUUCCUGGAUAGAGGAUGAACAGUUACCAUACUCAGGCACAGCCUCUAGUAUAUUGUCCACAAUUGUAUAUAGGCAUAGAGAAUUAAUGCACGGUGGCAAUGGAAAUCCCCAGUAAACAUUAUUUAUUCUGUACAAGCACAAAAAAAGUACAUGUGAGGCUAUACUAUGGCCAUAGAAUAGAAAUGUGUAAGUACCAAAUUGGGGUUGUGUGGUUGUGCUAACUGUAUAGGUCAACUAGUUUUGUCUCUCGGUGUUAUAAAGCUUCAAGUUGUCCUGAUGGAGCCUACGACAUUGCAGCAGUAUGAGCCAUGCCCUAGGCAAAUCAAAGGACCAGCUCCGACAGCAAGUGGUGAGCCACCGGCAUCUGAAUCAAUCAUCGACCAAACCCAAAAGAUAUGUGGAAAAAUUGAUGGAUCCAAACCAAAACACUUGAGGCUAAACAAGAAAUGGGGGUAUCAAUGGUGACAACAUUGUAGCAAUAUGAAUUAAACCCUAAGAAAAUCAAAGGAUUAGCUGCAUCGACAAGUGGUGCGCCACCAAGAUCUAUGUCCAUCAUCAACCAAACCCUAAAGCUCAGAGGAAAAAUCAAUGGAUCUGAACCAAAACAGUUUUGAAAGUGUAUAAGAAGAAACAACAAAGAAGAGAAGAUGAAGGAAAUGACAAUGAGGCUGCAUACCAGUGGCCUUCCUAGAUUACUAGUAACGCCAGUGCAGCUCAUCGCCACCAGCGGGAGGACAAUGAUGGGAUAGGGGGGAUAGCGAGAGUGAAAGAGGGCAGCCGCAUAGAGGGAACUGAGUGAAAAGUAGCCAGGGAAACCCUAUUAGGUGGUGACACUGCACUUAGUUUGGUGGCCAGCCUAAGGCAUCAGGCCCACCAGAUGGCAGUGCGGCUGGGCCAAGCCCGGCUCUAGAAAAAUGGCUGCCAGCCUAACAUUUUUCAUAGCCAGGUCAGGUGCAUACGGGUGGCCUCCCGAAUACCGGCACCAGCACAUCCACCUAUAACCAAACAAACAAACCCAACUUGGCUCCAUGGAACCAGACCUGGGGUUGGGCACCAAACCAAACAGACCCUAUACUAACAUAGUGGGGAUGGGAAAAUAACAAAAAAGAUUAAUUCUUUUGGCGUCCAGCGGAGGAGGGAAGAAUGAAGGUGAAACUGAAAGAAACUAGGGAGAAGACACUAGUAGGUAAGGAUGUAGUGAUGUGGUGUGUACACACAUGGAGCAUGGCCGGUGCGAAGUAGGAUAUGUCAUAGUGCACGAAAAGUUCAAUGAUGCCGUCGACGGACAUGAUGGCCAUGGAGCACACGUGGUCCACCGCUGCCAAGUUGGAGCCCAUGUCCGAAAUCCCUUCGUGUCCUGACCAAUGAUCAGAGCCAAGCCAAGUCAAAACCUUGUCACGCGAGAGGCAGGCUUGGCCUGGGCUUCAAGGAAGGAACUAGGAGAAGGGAGAAAUGAGGGAGAGUGGGAGAGUCCCACACUAUGAUGUGGGGUGGCUUGCCAAGUGAGUACAACAUGCAACCAUGCUCAGUGAGGGAUACGUUCACGGCUGAAAGCGGCAGCACCGUUGAAGGCCCGGUCUAGGAGUCCUUCGCCAUAGUUUCGCCAUUCUCUAGCCCACAUGGUGGCGACCAUCCACGCUAGAGGCUAUUGCCAUGCCCCCAUCCAUGCCGUGUUGCACUGUGGUGUCGAUUGUGGUGGGCUUGAGCUGCGAUAGGACGAUGAUGCUGCUACCUAAUUUGUUUGACUGGGCUGGUGGAUGGGGAGGUUUGUAGAGUGCAGAGUGCAUAGUGCCAUUUGCCUCGCCCAUCACCACAUGCUCCCUUCCAUCCUUUUAAAGGAAUCCACCACCGGACACUAGGCUUCUCAUCGCGUGGGUGGCUAGGCUUCUCACAAGUCAUUCUGAGAUGACUUUAUGAAUUCCUGCCUACUGUGUUUCCUUUCUACUAGUAACUAUAGAUUAUAUGCCAUCGUUGUUGUAGGGUUUUAGGCCUUGUUCAGUUGGCAAAAUUUUUGGAUUUUGGGUAUUGUAGCACUUUCGUUGUAUUUGGUAACUAUUGUGCAAUCAUGGACUAACUAGACUUAAAAUAUUCGUCUCGCAAAUUACAGGUAAACUGUGUAAUUAGUUUUUAUUUUCGUCUAUAUUUAAUACUCCAUGCAUGUACCGUAAGAUUCGAUGUGAUGGAGAAUCUUAAAACGUUUUGGCAACUAAACAAGGCCUUAUACUGUAAGAAAAGGAGUUGUAGAGUGAGAAAUAAUUAAACUCUUUUAUUUGGAAGUUUGAUAGAUAUCAAUUUAGUGGGAGUUGAAUGGAAUAGAAGCAAUGCUAUAGGAUAUUGAAUUUCAUGAGAGAAAUCCGAAGAGGAGUAUCACCAUAAAAGAAAAGGAGUCCAUAUAGACCUCCAUACAUGACUAAAUAUAGUCACAUCAGAAAUUUCAUUAGUGAAAUAUUCCUCAAAAAAUAGUGUACAUAUAUGGGACUAAAAUACUGCCUAUAAUAAAAUUUGCUUAUACCUGUAUCCAAGGUGACAUGGACGGUGGCGCUAGCUACUCGACAUUUUUUGUGUGUCUAUGGUAGCUACUCGACCUAGGAAGCACUAUUCAUACAUGGCCAUAGUGGUGAUCGAUCACAACAUUAAGGUGGGCCCGGUGCUCAGUAAAUAAGGUGAAACAGAUAAAGGUUUGCAACCGGUCAUUAGUGGACGCUGCCGGCUCUAAUCUUCGGAGGUGCUCUCAUAGAGGUAGGAUUUGUGUACGUUUGUUUAUAGGGGUGAGUGUGCAUGCAUUGUGAGUGUCUGCGUUGUACUGUGCAAUUCUAAAAAAAAUAGCCUUACUUUCGAAAGAAGGCAUCCCAUGUCGUUGCUGAAUGUUGUGACCUCUCCAACGCCAUGGAUCCCAGACCUAUACAUGACCCUAGAGUGGCGUCUCUUCAUGUAUCUGCUAGGAGCAGGGAGGAACUCAAGCGGCUCCAUCUCCCUCUUUGAUGACCUCUCCGACGCCACCGUGGAUCUCAUUGACUUGUACAUCACCUUGAAGCGGGACUACUUCCUGAUUCGUCCCAUUUGCCAGGAGCGCACAGGAACUGAACCCAGCUCACAUGUGAAGUUGUGAACUCAAGCCGGUGUUCGUGGCCACCCCCUCACCACCCGGCAUGGCCCCUAGAUCGAGUUUGCCGCCUGGUCCAUAACUCAAGCCGGCGUUCAGGAUGUGUGUGAUGGUUAGUGCUGGAGCGUGCAUGAUCGAUGGAGUCAAAGUGCAAGAGUCAUGUACGACGUACGUAGUGGAGAUACGAGAUUCAGAUUCACACAUCUGCAGAACUAGAGGAAGCAGCCUGCAGGGAUACCAGCAACACCUCUGCCACUAGGUUCCCUUCCCAUUGCUGGCACAGAUCUUCUCUCUGUCACUCACCAUCCAUGCAUCACAAGCUGCUGCUCUAGUCAACCAUCUGACAAUGUCACAGCUGCAGGCCCCACUAUCCGAGAACAGAUUACAAUCAUGACGCGCCUCUAUGGAGCGCUACCACUCAUCUACAAAUAUUCAAGGAUUAAGUCCACUUUUAGCCCCUCAACUAUUGGCCGAGUUUAAUUUUAGCCCGCAACUACAAAACUGUCUGUUUUUCACCAUCAACUAUCAAAACCGGUCUCUUUUAGCACCCGGAGAGAUGACAGGGCGGUUUUGAGCCACUUUGAGCGGGUUUUCCUUUUUCUUUUCUAUGGUUAAACCUGUGAAUUUCAUAGUGAAUUGUUUAAGCAUGGUAAAUUCUUCAAAUAUUUUGGGUUGCCUUGUCAUGAUGUUUUCUAUGAAGGAAAAAUAUGAAACUAUAAAAAUAAGUAGUGUUUUUAUGCUAAAAAAUUAGCUCUUUUAAUUAAUAAAUGUAUGUUCUGAUUUUUGUAAGAUAAUAUAUAUAUCCUAUGAUCAUGAAACUUUUUGCAUAACUGCUUUAUACUAAGAUAGACCUCCACAAAAAGUUUGAGAUUAAUUUGAUGAUGUUUGCUUAUAUCCCUAAUUUAUAUGCUUUAUUAAUUACAUAUAAAUUAGGGACAUAACCAAACAUCAUUAAAUUAAUCUUAAACUUUUUUGAAGGUCUAUCUUAAAAACUGUUACACAAAAAGUUCAUGAUCAUAGGAUAUAUAUAUUAUCCUACAAAAAUCAUAGAACAUGUAUUUGUUAAUUAAAGGAGCUAAUUUUUUAGCAUCCAAAAAAUACUUACUUUCAUAGUUUUACAUUUUUUUUCUGCAUAGAGAUCAUCAUGACAAGGAUACCCAAAAAAUUUAAUGAAUUUACCAUGCUCAAACAAUUCACUAUGAUAUUCACAGGUUUAACUAUAGAAAAGAAAAAGGAAAAACCGCUCAAAGUGGCUCAAAACCGCUCUGUCCUCUCUCCGGGUGCUAAAAGUGACCGGUUUUGAUAGUUGAGGGUGAAGAACAGACGGUUUGGUAGUUGAGGGCUAAAAUUAAACUCGGCCAAUAGUUGAGGGGCUAAAAGUGGACUUAAUCCAAUAUUCAACUAUUCUUUCAAGGUUCAUUAGGGCAGCCUGAAGCUUUACAACAUUCGGAGACAAAAUCAGUGGACCUAUAUGUUAUUACCUUACACAUAGCACAACCACACAACCCCACUUUCGCACAUACACAUUUCUAUUUUAUGGCCACAGUACAACCUCACAUGCCCCUCUUUUGUGAUUGUUCAGAACAAAGAAACUUUACUGGUUUUUUCCAUGGCCACCAUGCAUUAGUUCUUCACCUAUACACAUUUGCAGAUGGUAUACUCGAGGCUGUGCUUAAGUACGAUAACUGUUGCUCCUCCAUCUAGGAAACAGCCCAUCUAUCAGUGUCUGACACACAUAAAGCAUGCACCAUCCAUCUAAAGUAAGAAAACCUCUAUCUUUAAUCCAAGUGGUUCAACAAAACAGGGAAACGGAGAGACUUGAUAUUUUACCUUGCACAAGUUCCAGCAAAGAAGAAGCAGACAAACAAAUGCUUAAAUUUUUUUGAGGAAAUAGGAGGGAUCCGCCUCUAUUGGAAAUAUAUUAACAGAAAAACAUAGCACAAGUCACAACAAGAUGGAUUGUAGUAAGGCAGAAGCAGCAGCACAGGGGGUUGCCCACCUUCACUCCUUGGCACUCUUGUUGAUGAGCGACUUGUGGAUGUGUGGGAUGAUGCCCCCACCAACAAUGGUGCCCUUGAUGACAGUUUCGAGCUCCACGUUCCCGUGGAUGGUGAGCUACAAGUGGCUGCCUCACAUGUCCCUAUUUGUUGUUGUUUAGAACAAAUAAGCUUUGCUAGAUCAUGGCCACCAUAUGCAUUAUUUCUUCGCCUAUACACAUUUGCAGACUAUAUACUAGAGGAUGCAAUUGGCGAUAACUGUAUCUUUUCCAACCAGGAGAGAGUCUGUCCAUCAGUGUCUGAUACACAUUCUGCAUGCACCAUCCAACUAUAGUAAGAAAACCUCUAUCUUUCAUUGAAGUGUUUUAGUAAAAUAGGAAAAAAGAGAGACAUGAUAUUUUACCUUACACAAUAUCCAACGAAGAAGAAGCAGACAACAGACACUUAAAUUAAAUAGCACAAGCAUAGAACUAUAUCGGUUUUAGUCAGGCAGAAGCAGCAACAUGGGGGGUUGCCCUCCUUCACUCCUUGGCAGUCUUGUUGCUGAAUGCCUUGUGGAUGUGCGGGAUGACGUCGCCACUAGCGAUGGUGCCCUUGAUGAGGGUGUCGAGCUCCUCGUUCUUGCGGUUGGCAAGAUGCAGGUGCCACGGGGUGAAACUCUUCGCCUUGAGGUCCUUUCUAGCAUUGCUGGCCAUCUCGAGGACCUUGGCAGUGAGGUACUCGAGGAUGGCGGCGGUGUAGAUGAUGGCACUAGCGCUGACAUAAGCAUGCAUGGAGGCACGUGACUUGAGCUGGUGGUGGAUGCGGCCCAUCGAGAACUGCAAACACAAAGUACCAGUUAGAAUCCAAGACACAUCCUAAAAGCCCACAUCAACAUCGGCCCAACAUGGCUCCAUGGCCACCCUGACGCUCACUAAUCACUACCUCACCGCAUGCCCCUAUCUACACAUCCUCCUCCCUCUCAUACACACACUCUAAUACAUGUGCUCCAAAACCUAACCCUACCGCGAUCGUGACGCGGGGUCACAGCGGUAGCAGCGUGAGCAUGAGGUGGGGUCGCUGUGGCCGAGGCGCGCUUGUUAGGUGGGCUCGCGGCAGUAGUGUUUGAGACACACUGGAUACACCAUCCAACUAACGUAAGAAAAAAACUCGAGCUGCAGAGGGUAAGACAGCCCCUGGGCAUUGCAUUAAGAAGAAGUCCUUCACACGUAGGUUGAGAAAACCC